GCGUGAGUGAGGAAGGCCUUAGGGUUGUAAAGCUCUUUCACCCGCGACGAUGAUGACGGUAGCGGGAGAAGAAGCCCCGGCUAACUUCGUGCCAGCAGCCGCGGUAAUACGAAGGGGGCGAGCGUUGUUCGGAUUUACUGGGCGUAAAGGGCGCGCAGGCGGCUCAUUUUGUCAGGCGUGAAAGCCCCGGGCUUAACCUGGGAACUGCGUUUGAUACGGAUGGGCUAGAGUUCGGGAGAGGAGAGUGGAAUUCCCAGUGUAGAGGUGAAAUUCGU
rnacentral:rRNA from 1 species